AACGAACGCUGGCGGCAGGCUUAACACAUGCAAGUCGAGCGCCCCGCCAGGGGAGCGGCAGACGGGUGAGUAACGCGUGGGAACGUACCUUGUGGUUCGGAACAACUCCGGGAAACUGGAGCUAAUACCGGAUAAGCCCUAACGGGGAAAGAUUUAUCGCCGAAAGAUCGGCCCGCGUCUGAUUAGCUAGUUGGUGAGGUAACGGCUCACCAAGGGGACGAUCAGUAGCUGGGCUGAGAGGAUGAUCAGCCACACUGGGAGUGGGACACGGCCCAGACUCCUGCGGGAGGGAGGAGUGGGGAAUAUUGGAAAAUGGGCGCAAGCAUGAUGCAGCCAUGCCGCGUGAGUGAUGAAGGCCUUAGGGUUGUAAAGCUCUUUUGUCCGGGACGAUAAUGACUGUACCGGAAGAAUAAGCCCCGGCUAACUUCGUG
rnacentral:rRNA from 1 species